rnacentral:rRNA from 1 species
CCUACGGGAGGCAGCAGUGAGGAAUAUUGGUCAAUGGGCGGAAGCCUGAACCAGCCAAGUCGCGUGAGGGAAUACGGCCCUAUGGGUCGUAAACCUCUUUUGUCGGGGAGCAAGGGCCGCGACGUGUAUCGGUAUGGAGAGUACCUGGAGAAAAAGCAUCGGCUAACUCCGUGCCAGCAGCCCCGGUAAUACGGAGGAUGCGAGCGUUAUCCGGAUUUAUUGGGUUUAAGGGGUGCGUAGGCGGUCUGCAAAGUCAGCGGUAAAAGCCCGGGGCCAAACCCCGAUCCGCCGUUGAAACUGGCGGGCUCGAGUGGGGGAGAAGUAUGCGGAAUGCGCGGUGUAGCGGUGAAAUGCAUAGAUAUCACGCAGAACUCCGAUUGCGAAGGCAGCAUACCGGCUCCAAACUGACGCUGAAGCACGAAAGCGUGGGUAUCGAACAGGAUUAGAUACCCUAGUAGUC